rnacentral:miRNA from 1 species
AUAGUGGCUGGUGUAGAUGCU